rnacentral:misc_RNA from 1 species
GAUGAAGAACGUAGCGAAACGCGAUAUGUAAUGUGAAUUGCAGAAUUCAGUGAAUCAUCGAAUCUUUGAACGCACAUUGCGCCCGCCAGUAUUCUGGCGGGCAUGCCUGUUCGAGCGUCAUUACAACCCUCAGGCCCCCGGGCCUGGCGUUGGGGAUCGGCGGAGCCCCCCGUGGGCACACGCCGUCCCCCAAAUGCAGUGGCGGUCCCGCCGCAGCUUCCAUCGCGUAGUAGCUAACACCUCGCGACUGGAGAGCGGCGCGGCCACGCCGUAAAACACCCAACUCUUCUGAAGUUGACCUCGAAUCAGGUAGGAAUACCCGCUGAACUUAAGCAUAUCAAUAAGCGGAGGA